rnacentral:lncRNA from 1 species
AUGCAAGUCCCCAGCGCGAGCCCGCACUCACCGGCGGCAGCAGCCCCACCAGCCCAGCUUCUCCUCUCGGGUCGCAGCCAGCCACACCAAGAGCUUCCGAAACGCAAAGAUCUCUGCGGGUUCCGCACGCCCGCGCGCCAGUGGGCGGGGCCGGCUGACGCUCGACCUUUCACCCGCGUGUCUCUGACGCCACCGGAAGCCGGCUCCGGGUCUGUCACCAGGCAUUCCUCUGUUGCCUUGACUACGGCGGGCGUUGUGGGAGUGGAGAAGCCGCAAGUGCUGAGGGAAGGUGGAGGAAGGCAUGGCAGCCAAGAGCAUGAGGAGCUGGUGUCUGUGUCAGAUUUGUUCCCUGCGGAUCAAGGGACGAGGACGCAGCGACAUCCCCACCUAUCCCGUUCCACGAAUACUCGCUCCGCACCCGCCGGCUACCUGGGGGUAAACGUUUCUUCGUAGCCCCUGAGACUCUGCAAUCAAGGAUGCAAAGUAAAAUGCCACCCAGGCCGGGUAAUAUAUGUGAAGCAGCGACGGAUAUAAGACUGGCAGGGAGUAGUGGGAUGUGAUCCCGACUGGGAGAAUGCAUUUCCACCCCGUCAUCCCUCACCACAAAGAUGAAAAAGAACAGUGCUCAAGGCCCUGAGUCUGCAACCCAUAUCACACUUUCUUUCAUCUGCUUUCUGUCCUCCCAGCCAGACCAUAUUCGUGAUUCCUCGGGCCUCCGCUCUUUGGGAUCCGCCUGACUGAAAAGGCAGUAUAGUAGUCCCCACCCUGAAACCUAGAAUCCAACUGAGUCUUGCCUAACAACCUUCCAUCACCUAGAAACACAGUCUUCUCCUUCCUCAGCUUCACUGUUGACCCAGGGAUUAGAUCAUUAUUUGCUAAGUAAAUAUGAAAGUGUCAAUCCCUUCGUAUUUGUAAUCCCCUUCAAAGAAAACACCUGUAAUGUUGAUGGAAAGCAGUUUUUUGAUAGUCUCAUAAUAAACACAGUUCGUGAAUUAGAAGUAGAUUAAAAUAUCAACAAAUUAACUUUGGGUGUAUGAAUCUGCAGACUGGUGUGCAGGAGACAAUUUUUACUUUUUUCCUAAUUUACAUUCAACGCAAGUUCCUUUCUCAUUCAACUGUUAGGAAAUUCAGUCUUCAUUAUGUUGAGGGCUACCCUUGGAAUGGUGUGAUUUUACUUUUUCUUUGUUUUUGGUUGUGGUUGUUUGGUUUUUUAAGGGUUUUAUUUUUAUUUUUUGAUACUGCAAUAAAUACACAAGAGGUGUCAUAAAAAUCCAUAAUAUUGUAAAAUAUCUAUAUUAUAAAACACUUUCAUAAUUCUAUCUUCCACAGAUAACAAAUGUUCUUUAAGACUUGUUUU